rnacentral:rRNA from 1 species
AUUGAACGCUGGCAGCAUGCCUUACACAUGCAAGUCGAACGGCAGCACGGGAGCAAUCCUGGUGGCGAGUGGCGAACGGGUGAGUAAAGUAUCGGAACGUGCCCAGUCGUGGGGAUAACGUAGCGAAAGUUACGCUAAUACCGCAUACGAUCUAUGGAUGAAAGCGGGGGAUCGCAAGACCUCGCGCGAUUGGAGCGGCCGAUAUCAGAUUAGGUAGUUGGUGGGGUAAAGGCUCACCAAGCCGACGAUCUGUAGCUGGUCUGAGAGGACGACCAGCCACACUGGGACUGAGACACGGCCCAGACUCCUACGGGAGGCAGCAGUGGGGAAUUUUGGACAAUGGGCGCAAGCCUGAUCCAGCCAUGCCGCGUGCAGGAUGAAGGCCUUCGGGUUGUAAACUGCUUUUGUACGGAACGAAAAGGUUUGGCUUAAUACGUUGAACUCAUGACGGUACCGUAAGAAUAAGCACCGGCUAACUACGUGCCAGCCGCCGCCGUAA